rfam:Leishmania major strain Friedlin complete genome, chromosome 33
GCCGGUACGGCAGCGCGCACACGCACACAGUGCACCGAUAUCUUCUCCGACUUGCGCGCACGCUGCAUUCCGCAAAGCUGCAGCGCGGCGCUCUGGAGGCCUUGUCCCGCGCACUGCUCUUUGCAUAGCCCGACGUGAGAGCACCUCGCGGGCAGUGCUGCGGCCUCGUGUGGGAUCGAGUCACGACUGAAGGAGAGCGAAUCUCAGGGCUCGGUGUGGAGAAGGAGGUGUCAAGUAGCCCCGUUGCGGAGAGCGUCUCAGACCCAUCACAGUGCACCUCACAGACCUCCCCGCCUCCCCGGCCACUUGCCACUCACUACCCCCUCCCCUUCCCUUCUCCCCCGUACCCCCCCCGCCCCAAUCUCUCUCUCUCUCUCUCUUUCUCGCAGCCUCUGCCCUCUCACCGCCGCGCCGGGCGCACCGGCGCUCGUUUCCGUUUUUUUUUGUGUUUUUGUUUUGUUUUGCGCGUUCCAACACACAGCCGGAUCGUUUUUCUUCUCUCUAACGA